CCCGUAUUAAAACUCACUCACCAAAGUUCAAUGUAUGCAGCAGUCACACGAGGUUAAGGUUAUUGUGUUGUAUGCUGCCAACGCCCUUAAAUGUUCACAGGAGAAUGUGUUUGGUGUUUAGUUGAAGUCUCGGGUGUGUGUCGGGUGGAGAGCAAGCUCUACGAUGGAGGCUCUCUUUCUUCGCUUGGUACUAGCAACACUUGUUCUGCUGAAUGCAUCAGAUUCGGCUCUUCAAGAAAUGGAUGAAAUGAAGGAGGAAAGUGAUGACGUCAGCCGGCAUUGCGAGAACACCGUGAGCGAGUUUCAGUGCGAGAGCAACUCGGGUUACACCCUCGAGGUGGACGUUAACAAGCUCAACGAACGUAGCAAAAGCAGUCUGAGUUGAUUCUUUCGCUGGACAUCAACCACCUCCACAACUGGCCAUCGAAUACUGAUGAUGAUGAUAAUGGUUACUUUUAUUGUGCCCCAUCCCAGCCCUAUGAGCAGGAUCAAGGCGCUUUACAAAUGAUAUUAAUUAUAACAAUAAUAAUAAUUGGCAUCCUAUGGAAAAAUUUACAAAAACAAAAUUACAGGAAGGGAAUGUAGAUAACGCGUGUGAAGGGUAAUAAUAAUGUUGUGUAGUGCUGUCUUAUUUUUAAAAUACUGAACGAUUACAGUAUACCUUAUCCAGCAAGGAUAUAAAAUUAAAAUAAAUGCAAAAAAAUAUGGGGAAACAAUCCUUGAGACAGAAGAAAACUAAGGACAGAUUUGUGUGAGCAGCCUGGUGACACAUUUCAGUGUCGAAGAGUUUUAGUUUGAGUCUGUAACUGCUUGUCAUGGGACAAGUCUUUUGAAAGAAGGGACAAGAAGGCUCCUCGGGUCACACAACCUGUACACAGCUUUUUUUGUUUUGUUUUUUGUUUUUUGUUUUUUUGCCUCGAGCGAUGAAGAAGUUCAUCCACCCUGCACAUGUUUUAUCGUGCUGUCCACCUGCACAAACAACAAAGUGGACUGAGAUGAGCAUGGCGUCCUGGAGGAAAGGACUGUUAGUCGACGCAUCAGCUGAACCUGUAGAAGUUAAACAAAAUGUCACAACCGGGCACUCGACUGAUAUUUGUGAUGGUGUUUACUGUGCACUUGCUGUGGCUUGGUGUGGCUUUGAAAGGAAUCUGCAUCGUUCACAGGACACGCCCUGUCAGCAAACUGACAGCCAACUAAAAACCAAAUACUUGCCUUUUAUGAACAUUAAGUUUGUGCUGACUGCUUUGCUAAGCCAACCAGGUCACGUGGACCGAUGUGUCCUGUGACAAGUCCCACCUUUGUCGACAAAAGAAAUGCAUUAGUGUGAAAGUCACUGUCAUGGUCUUCAACGAAGUCAGGACUGCGUGCAUGAAUUUUGAUACUCAAAUAAUUUCUUUUGUAUGAUAAGAAUCAAUGUUUUUUGCAUGAACUUA
rnacentral:lncRNA from 1 species